GUGCACCCUGCAGAGCCCAGCAAAGCGAGCGAGGCUUAAUGGACGGCCGAGCGCAGCUGAUCAAGGCCCUCCUGGCCCUGCCUAUUCGGCCGCAGACGCGUCGGUGGAGGAACCCGAUCCCCUUCCCCGAGACGUUUGACGGCGACACCGACCGGCUCCCGGAGUUUAUCGUGCAGACGGGCGCCUACAUGCUAGUGGACGAGAACCUGUUCACCAACGAUGCCCUGAAGGUGACGUUCCUCAUCACCCGCAUGACUGGGCCAGCCCUGCAGUGGGUGAUCCCCUACAUCAGGAAGCAGAGCCCCCUCCUCAAUGAUUACCGGGGCUUCCUGGCCGAGAUGAAGCGGGUGUUUGGAUGGGUGGAAGACGAGGACUUCUAGGCCGGGAGCGCCUCAGGUCUGGGGGCGGGUGCUCGGGGGAGGGUCCGCCGCGCCAAUCGCCGCCUCCCAGAUCGCCACAGGCGUCCUCCCGCCGUGUCCCCCCUCACCUUCGGGUGGCCGUGAUCUCCCCCGUGCUCGUGUCCCCUCCCGCGUAGUGCUUGCUUUUGUUCCAGGAAUAGCGCUCCAGGUUCUAGCUGCUGGCGCCGCCCUCUCGAGUCAGCCCAGCCUCUCCCCUGCACACUUGGACUCGGUCCUGCGCUCCAACUGCAAGCCGGGCUCCUGUUACCCACUGGGCAGACCACCCACACCCAGCCGCUGCCAACCGCCCGCCCCCUGCCAGACUCCCAGGCCCGCCUGGGGGUGGCCAGAGACCUGCGCUGCGGCGGCCAUCACCGUGCACGCAUUCCACCCACAGACUGCAGCCUUCGGCGAUCUGCACUCACCCGGGAGGUGUCUGAGAGGGCCACAGCCUCUGGACAAACAAGGAUUCCAACAGCUCACCACCGUCCUGGAGGGGCUGGCCAGCCUUUCACCUGUGAUGGGACCCAGGCCUAGAGACAUCUUCUGUUCCUGCUCGGUGUGACCACUAGGUCCCAGGGCUGCCUGGCAGCCAAAUCGAGUCACUCAUUGUCUCCUGCGGACCUGUUGGUUUCACCCAGAAUCCAGUUCUCUUCUGAAUGUGCAGCUGUGUCUCUGAUGUGUGCCUUUUGUUCAGCACAGUAACCCCUGCACUCUGCCCAGCUCUUCUGCACUACCUGGACAAAUUUUUUUUCCUUAUUUUCAAAAUGUCAGACGAUGUUCAGAAAGAAAUUGAGUCUUCAUGAAUAUGACAUCUCUCCCUCCAUGGUCCAAUAAGUGGGGUGCAUGACUUGCUCAGAAGAUUCUGCUAAAGUGGUUUGAGAAGUGCUUGGAAGCAGUUUAUGGUGUAGAUCCAGCAUAUUCCCUACAGUCUGUGUCCAUCUGGCUCUCAAGGUAGGUAGAAUGGCCUGGGACAACUCGGUAUCCUUUCAACAGUGUUGGUAACCCCUUGCCUCCCUCAACAAAAAUGCCCCUGGAGCCUUCUUCCUCCUGCCAGAAUGGCUCUGUUAGGCAUUAUUCCUUUGUCUAUACCAGUUGUAUCAUCCCAGGUCCUUUUUU